rnacentral:rRNA from 1 species
AGACGAAGGGAGCGAGCGUUGUUCGGUAUCACUGGGCUUAAAGGGCGCGUAGGCGGCCAGAUGGGUCGGUUGUGAAAUCCCUGGGCUCAACCCAGGAAUGGCUUCCGAAACUAUUUGGCUUGAGGCAUUCUGGGGGCGACUGGAACUCUUGGUGGAGCGGUGAUAUGCGUAGAUAUCAAGAGGAACGCCAGUGGUGAAGACGGGUCGCUGGGAAUGUCCUGACGCUGAGGCGCGAAAGCUAGGGGAGCGAACGGGAUUAGAAACCCCAGUAGUCC